UACGUAGGUGGCGAGCGUUGUCCGGAUUUACUGGGCGUAAAGCGCGCGCAGGCGGUUCUGUAAGUCCUGGGUGAAAUCGCCCGGCUCAACUGGGCGGGGGCCUGGGGGACUGCGGGACUGGAGGGGCCUAGAGGCCGGUGGAACUCCCGGUGUAGUGGUGAAAUGCGUAGAGAUCGGGAAGAACACCAGUGGCGAAGGCGGCCGGCUGGGGGCGCCCUGACGCUGAGGCGCGAGAGCGUGGGGAGCAAACAGG
rnacentral:rRNA from 1 species